UACGUAGGGUCCGAGCGUUGUCCGGAAUUACUGGGCGUAAAGAGCUCGUAGGUGGUUUGUCGCGUUGUUCGUGAAAACUCACAGCUUAACUGUGGGCGUGCGGGCGAUACGGGCAGACUUGAGUACUGCAGGGGAGACUGGAAUUCCUGGUGUAGCGGUGGAAUGCGCAGAUAUCGGGAGGAACACCGGUGGCGAGGGCGGGUCUCUGGGCAGUAACUGACGCUGAGGAGCGAAAGCGUGGGGAGCGAACAGG
rnacentral:rRNA from 1 species